UUCUCAUGCUAGGGGUGCCUGCACAUCAGGCUGAGAUUACACCCUUAACACCUGAAUCCGGGUAAUACCGGCGGAGGGAAGCUGUUUAUCGAGGAA
rnacentral:ncRNA from 2 species